rnacentral:lncRNA from 1 species
UGAUGGGACAGUGGUCAUUGUGCAUUUCCUCCUAUUUUUCAUUUAUACACUUGGAGAAGAACAAUAGACUGAAAAACAUUAUCUAUUGACAUAGAAAAUAAUUUCAGUGGGAAGUGAAGAAAGAAAGCUUUAUGUUUCAUAUUUGACAGUUACAAUUUGUCCGCCUUUCCGUGUGCUUCCUGAAAUUCCUCGGACUCUGAGCACUCAUGGUGCCAGCUCUGUACUAGAAGUGUUGUUUGUAAAAUCUUGGCACAACACAUCAGGUAAUUGGAGAAUUUCAGUUAUGAUUCUGUUAGAGCAGUUGAUGCCUUUGAAAUCUGUGAUUUCAGAUUUCCUCUUCAUGUACGAGAGGGAUAGUUGUUGCUUGUUUCAGCUGCCUCUGAUUUGGGCUAAAUAAGGUAAGAAUUGGAG